rnacentral:rRNA from 1 species
CCCACACGAUUUUACAAGGGACGAGAGUAGACGGAUCGCUGUGAAACAUAUCACGUAUGCGUUUUUGAGAACAGGCGAUCCGUUUUGAACCGCAAUCACUUGUCUUUUAAAAGAAGACCCGUAUGAAUGGCUCCACGAGGGCUUAACUGUCUCUUUCCCCCAGUCAAUGAAAUUGAUCUCCCCGUGCAGAAGCGGGGAUCCUCACAUAAGACGAGAAGACCCUUUGGAGCUUUAGACAAAAAGUAGACCAUGUCCCCACCCCCAAAUAAAAGGAAUGAACUAAUUGGUCCCUACCCUUCGUCUUUGGUUGGGGCGACCGCGGGGAAACAAAAAACCCCCAUGUGGAACGGAAGACUAUCUUCUAUAACCAAGACCCACAGCUCUAAGUUUCAGAAUUUCUGACCAAAAAGAUCCGGCACCGCCGAUCAACGGACCGAGUUACCCUAGGGAUAACAGCGCAAUCCCCUUUUAGAGCCCAUAUCGACAAGGGGGUUUACGACCUCGAUGUUGGAUCAGGACAUCCUAAUGGUGCAGCCGCUAUUAAGGGUUCGUUUGUUCAACGAUUAAAGUCCUACGUGAUCUGAGUUCAGACCGGAUGUCGCCUGUUUAUCAAAAACAUAUACGUGAUCUGAUUUCAAACCGGGGGGCUCGUGACUAAAUAUGAUCCU